UGGGUAACCUGCCUCAAAGAGGGGAAUAGCCUCCCGAAAGGGAGAUUAAUACCGCAUAAUAUGUUUAAGUCGCAUGACUUUAACAUCAAAGGAUUUUCUUUUAAGAAAUUCCACUUUGAGAUGGACCCGCGGCGCAUUAGCUAGUUGGUGAGGUAACGGCUCACCAAGGCAACGAUGCGUAGCCGACCUGAGAGGGUGAUCGGCCACAUUGGAACUGAGACACGGUCCAGCUCCGUAGGGAG
rnacentral:rRNA from 1 species